rnacentral:lncRNA from 1 species
GAGCAUAGAGCUAAUAGGGAACAGAAGAAGAAUUGGUUUAGUGGAGGCUCAUUCACAGGAUUAAUUACUGGGCAAGACACAAGCAGAGCUAGAAUGUUCCCACCAGGGAAAGACUGACAUUUGAAAAGGAAAAAAUAAUCCAUACUGAUCCUCAGGGCUCACUGGCUGCCUACAGUCACAUAUUACUGACAUCCGGACCAGCAGUCUUUUUGAAGUCAAUAAUGGUGCCACCAAAGAACUGGAGAUGAGGAGCAGGGGCCUUUCUACAACUCUAGGGAGGAGGACAGAGAUAAGUGACCAGACAGGCCCUGCUGUGGUGUCCUUCGAUGAGUCCCUUCCUAGUGUUCACCCUUAGUAUCAGCUUUUCACAUAUAGGAAGGCAACAGUACACAGGGGACACAGUGGAGCAGAGCUACGACUCAAAUUCCAACUCUGCCAAAAGCCAGUACUGUGACCCUGGUUUCUGUGUGCCUCCAUUCCCUUAUUAAUAAGAUAAAAAGGCCAUCCUCUGCCACAUAUGCGGCCAGAGCCAUGGGUCCCUCCAUGUGUAUUCUUUGGUGGUCCAGUCCCUGGGAGGCCCAGGGGAGUCUGGCCUGUUGACACUGUUGCUCCCUCCAUGGGACUGCAAACCCCCUCAGCUCCUUCUCCAAUUCCUCCACCGGGAACUCCCAGCUCAGUCCAAUGGUUGGCUGCGAGCUUCCUCUUCUGUAUCUACCAGGCUCUGGAAGAAUGCCAGGGCAGAAGGAUCAGAGUUCGUGGGUGGGUGAGCAUCCUCAUAGAGGCAGGGGAAGGGGGAUGUUAUAGGAGGUUUCUGAAGGGAAGACCUGAAAAGGGGCAAAGCUUUGAAAUGUAAAUAAAGAAAAUAUCCAAUCCAAAACAAAAAGGAUAGAAAGGAUAGGGGCUUAGAACAAACAUUUCAAAGAAUCAAAGCGUCCAAUGUAAAGCACAGAGUCUGUGAGCCAGCUGCCACUGUGAGGAUUAGUAAUGUCGAGCGCGUGCUGUCCCUUUGUUUCCAACACUUCCGAUAACGUUAUUUUCAGUAAAAGUAAGGGGACUUUGAUAAUACAGGGCAUGUUUUAUGUGCACUACAUGAUCACUCAUGUCCUUGUGUCACCGUUACUCUUGUCAUAUACAAGAAAACCAUCAGUGAGUCAAGACAUCAAGUUACAAGGUUUGUACCGCUUCUAAUCUUGGUCAGAGGAACUUCUUAUCAAUGUAGGGUUAAUCAGAGAUAUGUUACUGUGCAAAGUGCUGAGGAUAUGCAACUGGGAAUGUAUGGUCACAGAUGACGUAUAUCUCAACCACUACACUCCUGCCCUAAGGCUCAGGGAACAUCAUGGAAUGGGAAGAACAAGUAAAGAAAACCUUAACAUGCAAGUAAUAUAUACAAGAGACACAAAGAAAGACAGUGAAAAGGAAGGUUACCUCGAGGGACCAUCAUGGUGAAUAACUGAAGAGAAGAGCAGAAUACAGUCUUAAAGAUGAUCAUUUCACCUUGGGGAUGGACUGGUUUGUAUCACUGACUAAAUAAAAUUUAAUUUUUU